AACUCCCAACCCCUGUGAACAUACCUAUACGUUGCCUCGGCGGAUCAGCCCGCGCCCCGUAAAACGGGACGGCCCGCCCGAGGACCCCUAAACUCUGUUUUUAGUGGAACUUCUGAGUAAAACAAACA
rnacentral:rRNA from 1 species